rnacentral:rRNA from 1 species
UACGAAGGGGCUAGCGUUGCUCGGAAUCACUGGGCGUAAAGGGUGCGUAGGCGGGUCUUUAAGUCAGGGUGAAAUCCUGGAGCUCAACUCCAGAACUGCCUUUGAUACUGAAGAUCUUGAGUCCGGGAGAGGUGAGUGGAACUGCGAGUGUAGAGGUGAAAUUCGUAGAUAUUCGCAAAGAACACCAGUGGCGAAGGCGGCUCACUGGCCCGGUACUGACGCUGAGGCACGAAAGCGUGGGGAGCAAACAGGG